AGAGUUUGAUCCUGGCUCAGGAUGAACGCUGGCGGUAUGCUUUACACAUGCAAGUCGUACGGGAGUUUUUAACUCAAGUGGCGGACGGGUGAGUAACACGUAAGAAUUUGCCUUUAGGAGGGGGAUAACAACUGGAAACGGUUGCUAAUACCCCAUAUGCUUUCGAGUGAAACGGAUUUUUCCGCCUAAAGAGAAGCUUGCGGCUGAUUAGCUUGUUGGUAAGGUAAUGGCUUACCAAGGCGACGAUCAGUAUCUGGUUUGAGAGGACGAUCAGACACACUGGAACUGAGACACGGUCCAGACUCCUACGGGAGGCAGCAGUGGGGAAUUUUCCGCAAUGGGCGAAAGCCUGACGGAGCAAUACCGCGUGAGGGAUGACGGCCUAUGGGUUGUAAACCUCUUUUUUCAGGGAGGAAUAAAUGACGUGUACCUGAAGAAUAAGCAUCGGCUAACUCCGUGCCAGCAGCCGCGGUAAGACGGGGGAUGCAAGUGUUAUCCGGAAUCACUGGGCGUAAAGCGUCUGUAGGUGGUUUAAUAAGUCAACUGUUAAAUCUUGAGGCUCAACCUCGAAAUCGCAGUCGAAACUAUUAGACUAGAGUAUAGUAGGGGUAAAGGGAAUUUCCAGUGGAGCGGUGAAAUGCGUAGAUAUUGGAAAGAACACCGAUGGCGAAGGCACUUUACUGGGCUAUUACUAACACUGAGAGACGAAAGCUAGGGUAGCAAAUGGGAUUAGAUACCCCAGUAGUCCUAGCCGUAAACAAUGGAUACUAGAUGUUGAACAGAUCGACCUGUGCAGUAUCAAAGCUAACGCGUUAAGUAUCCCGCCUGGGAAGUAUGCUCGCAAGAGUGAAACUCAAAGGAAUUGACGG
rnacentral:rRNA from 1 species